UACAGAGGGUGCGAACGUUGCUCGUAAUUACUGGGCGUAAAGCGCGUGUAGGCGGGUCGGCAAGUCAGGCGUGAAAUCCCCAGGCUCAACCUGGGAACUGCGCUUGAAACUGCCGGUCUUGAGUAUCGGAGAGGGUGGCGGAAUUCCUGGUGUAGAGGUGAAAUUCGUAGAUAUCAGGAGGAACACCGGUGGCGAAGGCGGCCACCUGGACGAUUACUGACGCUGAGACGCGAAAGCGUGGGGAGCAAACAGG
rnacentral:rRNA from 1 species